AAGCGUGCGCAGGCGGUUAUGUAAGACAGAUGUGAAAUCCCCGGGCUCAACCUGGGAACUGCAUUAGUGACUGCAUAGCUGGAGUACGGCAGAGGGGGAUGGAAUUCCGCGUGUAGCAGUGAAAUGCGUAGAUAUGCGGAGGAACACCGAUGGCGAAGGCAAUCCCCUGGGCCUGUACUGACGCUCAUGCACGAAAGCGUGGGGAGCAAACAGGAUUAGAUACCCCUAGU
rnacentral:rRNA from 1 species